GUCGUGGCGGUUGUGGAGCAUUUCAACCUUCAACGCGUAUAUUUCGUCAUCCCGAACGACUAUUUAAUGCGAGCGAGUGUUUCGAGAGUGCCGUGGAGGGUUGAAAGUGAAGUAAAGUGUCGAGCGUUCGUGGCAACAUCCGUUGUAUCGGAUACGAUGCAUGAUGCGAAGUCAUGCAUGUCGCGUUCAACGCAUCUUCUCCGUUGCCUCGUAUCCCAAGUUUUACGAUCGUAUUCAUAGUUCUUCCUUGAGAAACAAGGAUUCCUUGUUAUUGUCUGUCUUUGUCUCACGUACUAUGUUUCAUCCUAUGCAAAACAAAGACAGACAGAAACAAGAAAUCCUUAUUUUUUAAGGAGGGACUAUGAAUACGGGUAUUAGACGCGUGUGAGUACCAGGAGUGUUUCGAAAGUGCCGAAAACGAAGAAUCGCAUGUUCGUGCCAACUGUGAAUUAAGACGCAUUGUCGUAAAGAGGAUCUUUGCUCUCAAACGUUCGACAGCUGCGGCUGAGACGGAGUUGAACGAAGCUGGAGACGGAGCACCAAUGACGAACGGUAACAAUCAUCCAAAAGCGUCAGUGCCGUCAGUCAAGGUGGUUAAGGAUUUAUAAGAGAUUCACGUUGAUUCACGUCAAGGUUUGAGAAAAGUGUUGGAGGACAGUGAAUUCUUGCUGACGAUUUUGAUUACUCACAGCCGUCCCGUUCUCAAUGAAUUCGAAUUAACAAUUUUGUCAAAUUAAUUCGCUGGGACAGUUAUAAUGUCUUCUGUCCAGCGUGCAUUUGCUCACAAGUUAAGUAAGCAGCAUGCCGCCGAUGUAAGGCGGCAAAUUGCCACUUCUACUUCUUAUUCUCGUGAUUUAUCAAAAAGCGGUAGCAGCAUAUCAGGAUUUUCUUCUACGAUGUCCUUGUGUGAGGUAUUAGAACCACUGGAUUAUGAAGAAUUCUUAGGACAACACCAAUCGGUGUUGGACCGUGAUCCUUUAAAACCAAUACUAGAUUUUCCUCCAGGGGAUGUUGAAUUGCGAGUUGUAAAGAGAAAGAUUCGAACAGAGGAACCAGUAGUACCUCAUGAGUCAAUUGAUACCGUGUCGCCUUAUGUGAAGAGGUGCAUUGAGAGUUUUACUUCAGACUGGGUUGUAAUACAUCGCAAAUAUAAAGGAAGAAUCUCACCUAUUGCCAGAGACAGAUUGCUUCAGGACACACCUAGACAAGAUUUCGAAGUAGAUCAAGAAGAUGCAAACGGCUGUGUAUCACCGAAUGAAGAGGACGACUUGUCCAGUUCCGGAGAUACUCCGAGAGGAUCUUGGGCAAGUCUGGAUUUGCGGCAUUCACAACACGAUCCUCUUCUGCCAAGUUUGUUAGAUCGCGUUUGUUUCGAAACUAUUGAUCAGAUGAAUGAACAGAAAAGAUUGGAAGAUCGACAGGAAGCCUUAUUCCCACUUUAUGCUCCUCCAACUCCUCCUGACGACGAGUGGCAAGAAAUCAGCGUUGCCCCGGAACCGACAGAGCCUUUUGCUCAUAAAAUUCUUGUGAAAUGUUUGCAAUUAAAAUUAGAACUAGAAGUGGAGCCAAUAUUUGCAAGUCUCGCAUUAUAUGACGCCAGAGAAAAGAAAAAAGUGUCGGAGAAUUUUUACGUCGAUAUGAAUUCAGAGGGAUUGAAAAGAAUGCUUGGAGGACACAUUGCUUAUAGCGAUGCGAGUACUUUAGCCAGAAGCUGCGUUUUGAGCAUCAACAAACCCAGUCCCGAUUUGUUUCUUGUCGUACGGCUGGAGAAAGUAUUGCAAGGUGACAUAUCGGAAUGUGCCGAACCGUAUCUACGCGAAGACAAAAACAAAGAUAAGGUCAGAGCUGCUGCCGCUGCUGCAUGCGAACGCCUUGGUCGUUAUAGAAUGCCUCUCGCAUGGACUGCAAUUCAUUUGUCUGGUGUAAUCGGAGGUGGUGGCGAUACGGAUAGCACUGGUAGCGCUGGAUCUUUAGAUAGAAAGUCCAGCAGUUUGGAACAGUGGCGGAAGAAAGUGGAACCACCAACGCGACGAGGUUCGUUAGAAAGACGGAGCUCGGAUAAAAGACGCAGUUGGUCACCAGACGAUUUUGCCAAUUGCCUCGAUAGCUUUAGGCCCAUUACUUUAACAGUCUCGAGCUUUUUCAAGCAGGAAAGUGAACGACUUCGCGAUGAAGAUCUUUAUAAGCUUCUGGUUGAACUACGAAGGCCUGGUUCAAACUUGAAACGCUUAAAAUGCUUACCAGGGAUAUUGAAAUUGGAUCUUAGUCCCAGACCCGAAGAGCUGCCGAGGUGUCUCGAUCCUGAUCUUAGAAGAUUAAUUCCAUAUCCGGAUGAAAAGAGUCGACCGGUUAAAGAGAUACUUGAGUUUCCAAGCGAAGUUGUUUCGCCAGAUUUAACGUAUCGCAAUCUUGUGUAUCUUUAUCCGAAGGAAGCAAACUUUAGCUCCAGAACUGGCUCAGCUCGCAAUAUCGCUGUAAGAAUUCAGCUCAUGGGAGGUGAGCAAGAGGCCGACGCGCUCACAGCUAUCUUUGGCAAAUCGUCGUGUCCCGAGAUGACACACGAGUACUUUACAUCUGUAUCGUAUCAUAACAAGAAUCCGAACUUUUAUGAUGAAAUCAAGAUAAGACUUCCUGCGGAUUUAAGUGCAAAACAUCACUUAUUGUUCACUUUCUAUCAUAUUAGUUGCCAAAAAAAAGCAGAACAACCGAACGUCGAAACAGCAGUUGCUUAUACAUGGCUUCCGCUUUUAAGAGAUGGUCAUCUCCAAUCAGGCGAAUUCAGUUUACCUGCUAUGCUGGACCCGCCGCCUGCAAAUUAUUCCUAUAUCGCGCCCGAUGUUCUUUUACCAGGCACUCGAUGGGUGGAUGCUCAUCGAGGGGUCUUCACUGUCAUAUUAGAGCCUGUUUCCAGUGUCCAUCCGCAAGACAAAUAUAUCGAUAGAUUCUUAUCGUUAUGCGGCUUUUUGGAAACUGGCCAAGUUCCACCUCGUAUUGGUGAAGCGGGCAUGGAGUCAGAAUUGAAAUCAGCGCUCCUUGAAUUAGCGCGUGCCUCGCAUUCUGCUUUGGUCCGAUCCCUUCCUCAAUUACUGGAUCAAUUAUUGAGUCUUCUAGUGCGACCGCCAACAUUACCAUCUCAAUCGUUGAACGUCGCUGCCACUAUUUUUGAGGCCGUAGGACUGCUUGUGCGAAAUAUCACUAAUCUACCGGAUGGUCAAUUGGACGCACAUGGAAGACAUGCGCUUUUAGCUACCUAUAUCGCGUAUCAAUGCUCUUUGCCAAGUAUGACACACAGCGGUGGCGUCGCGCGAGCACAGAGUAAUCCUGAUCUACCUCUGGAAGAUUUGGAGAUGGAGGUACACUCGCGAGGAUUGGAUAGAACCGCAUCAAUGCGACAAGAAUCUCCUUCGAUCAAUAGUCAUCCCACUAGAAGACUUUUACAUGAGGAACUUGCCUUGCAUUGGGUUGUAUCCACCGGUCAAGCACGUGAACUGGCGAUAACUCAUUCCUGGUUCUUCCUGGAGCUAAUUAUGCGCUCGAUGGUUGUUACACUGUCCGAGAUGGCAUCUUUGGAGGCUCUACGAAAAGUGAGAUUUUCGCCGCAAUUUUGUGACGACGUCGCGACACUCACUGCCGCGUUAACAUCCGAGGUGAUUUCGCGAUGUGGCAAGGAGAUCCGCGUAGCAUCUAAUUUGAUAUCGAGUCUUGGCAAUUUUCUGUCCGAUUUGUUAUCCGUGAUGGACAGGGGAUUUGUGCUGUCGCUUGUUCGCGCUGCCUGUUGCUCGCUGUCGGAAGCAUCGAUGCACAUUCCCGACUCAGCGGCAUUGUAUGCUCUGAAACUCGAUCUAGUGAGAACGAUAUGCUCGCAUGAGCAUUACGUAGCAUUGAAUCUUCCCUUUGGCACUGGCUAUACAUCGGGAUCUGCUCCGGCAUCGCCCAGUCCAUCGACUGGCAGUUCAGGCAGUCUGAUAUCCACUCUCGUGCCUGGAGAUAGAGCUCGAUUUUCAGAACUCAGUCAAGAAUUCAGGCAGCAGCAUUUUCUAGUUGGUAUUGUUUUGUCUGAUCUGGCAAACACUUUAGAGAUACCAAAUCCGAUGCUACAGAAUAAAGCUAUUGGAACUAUUCGGCAUCUUAUGAGUUGUCACGAUGCUGAUCAGCGAUAUUCUGAUCCCGCAGCCAAGGCCAGAGUCGCUGCGCUGUAUCUGCCAUUGCUUAGUAUUUUGAUGGAUGCCUUACCCCAGCUUUAUCACUGGGAUUCUAAAGACAAAAGCGUUUAUCCGGAUGAAUCUGGAUCGAUCACGCAAUCGGUAGCAUUGGCGAUUGCCGGCGGAAUGUCGGCGGAUACCGCAGGCAAUCAAUGUCGUGUAUCCUUGAGCUCUGAAGCUACUCGACAUCUAUUAAUGUGUGCCUUAUGGGUGCUCAAGGGAUUAGAACGAACCGCUCUAGCGCAAUGGUGUUCCGAACUCAGCGCAAGACGCGUUCUGAGCUUGCUGCAAGUAUUGAAUAUCGCCACCGCAGCUUUCGAGUACAAAGGCAAGAAGGCACUUAAAAGAUUGCCACCUCAAGCAACAGCUACGAGCGAUAUUAGAUCGCGAUUGGAAGACGUGAUUCUUGGCCAGGGAAGUGCCAGAAGUGAAAUGAUGCUGCGAAGAAAAGAGAGAGUGACUGGAGAUAAAUUGAGAUGGCGCAAAGAUCAAAUGCCUUAUAGAUCUUGUGAACAACCUGAAGGAAGAGCUGUAGAGCAAGAUGCUCAUAUAGAAGGAGCUUUAGCGGCUGAGGCUUCUCUUGUUGUAUUAGACACUUUAGAAUCCGUAGUUCAAGCUGACGGCGGUGGAGGUGCUGUUGUCGGUGCAGUAUUGAAGGUGUUAUUAAGAGCGUUGGCUAGAAAUCAAAGUACAUCAGUGCUUCAGCACAUGUUUAAUACACAGCGGGCUCUAGUCUUUAAGUAUCAUAGCGCAUUGUUCGACGAGGAAAGCGAGCGUUGCGGAGAUUUGUGCUUAACAUUGCUCACUCGAUGCAGCUCGCCUUUAAGCGCUAUCAGAAGUCAUGCAGCUGCAAGUUUGUAUCUGCUGAUGCGUCAGAAUUUUGAAAUUGGAAAUAAUUUUGCACGCGUUAAAAUGCAAGUCACAACAUCCUUAUCCGCUCUCGUUGGGAGAGGAAGAGCUCCUAGCGAGGGGGCAUUACGUAGAGCUUUGAAAACGGUACUGGUAUAUGCCGAGAGAGAUACGGAGCUUGCAGACACAAGUUUCCCCGAACAAGUGAAGGAUCUACUGUUCAACCUUCAUAUGAUCCUUUCUGAUACCGUUAAGAUGAAGGAGUUCCAAGAGGAUCCUGAAAUGCUCUUAGAUUUAAUGUACAGAAUCGCCAAGGGUUAUCAAGGAUCACCUGAUCUUCGUUUAACAUGGCUUGCAAACAUGGCACAGCAACACAUGGAAAGGAAAAAUCACACGGAAGCAGCAAUGUGUUUGGUGCACAGCGCCGCUUUGGUAGCGGAAUAUCUUCAUUUAUUGGAACCAGGUGGCGGCGGCCGGCCUAUAGGAGCUGUUGCUUUGAAUCCCGUGACACCAAACGCUUUAGAGGAAAGCGCUGUCGGCGAUGACGUACUGGCUAGAAGGGAAGAAGGGCUUUGCUUAGGCCCUGAUUUUUCAGAGAGUGGAUUGGCAGGUUUAUUAGAGCACGCGGCUAGCUCUUUUCAUGCAGCUGGAAUGUAUGAAGCUAUUCCUGAUGUCUAUAGGGUAUUGCUGCCUAUAGCGGAAGCUGCACACGAUUAUAAGAAAUUAGCUAACAUUCACGGUAAACUUCACGAGGCAUACACGCGUGUGGAACAGUUGGCCGGUAAGCGAGUCUUUGGGACAUACUUCAGAGUUGGUUUUUACGGCGCCAGAUUUGGUGAUCUCGCUGGUGAAGAGUUUGUUUACAAAGAGCCAACCUUGACGAAACUCCCGGAGAUAUUCUCAAGACUCGAGAACUUUUAUGCCGAAAGAUUCGGUGCGGAUAAUAUAGUCAUAAUAAAGGAUUCGAAUCCUGUGGAUCCUAGCAAGCUAGAAUCGGACAAGGCUUAUGUGCAGAUUACUUAUGUGGAGCCGUAUUUCGAAGCGCACGAGCUUAGGCAUAGACCAACAGUUUUCCAUCGGAAUUUCAAUAUAAAACGAUUUGUUUAUGCGACACCUUUUACUCCUGGUGGCAAAGCUCACGGUGAGUUGCGUGAACAGUGCAAACGAAAGACUAUAUUAACGGUGGCGACGCAUUUCCCAUAUCUUAAAACCAGAAUUCGAGUCGUAGCUCGAAAACAGAUAGUCUUGAGCCCCAUUGAAGUGGCAAUUGAAGAUAUACAAAAAAAGACUGCCGAGGUAGCCGCUGCAACCGCUCAAGAACCACCUGAUGCAAAAAUGCUGCAAAUGGUCCUUCAAGGUUGCAUCGGCACGACGGUCAAUCAAGGGCCCGCUGAAGUGGCGGUCGUGUUUCUUUCCGGUUUGCGCGAACAAAAUGCACAGCCAACCAGAUUGCAACACAAGCUUCGUUUGUGUUUCAAAGAUUUUCAGAAAAAGUGUCUUGACGCUUUGCGGCGCAAUAAGAAUCUGAUUGGCCCCGAUCAGCGGGAUUAUCAGCGAGAGCUGGAGAGAAAUUAUCAAAGAUUGACCGAGAGAUUGGCACCGCUCAUUGCUUGGAGCGGACCAUCCUUAGUUAAUCAGCAAACUGUUCCGUCAACUCCUCCACGCUGGUAAGAAAAUGAAACACUGCCAUAGAAGCUUACCAAAGACUUAUAUCCAAUUAUUAAUUGCGUAAGUGAUUGUCAUUUAGUAUAUGUAUAUAUGGCUAUAUAUAUAUAUAUAUAUAUAUAUAUAUAUAUAUAUAUAUAUAUAUGUAGCUAAUUCUUCAGUUUAUAAUCACUAUUGUGAAAAAAAAAAUUCGUAUGUUGAGUCCUUGUUUUAUAACAAGAUUAAAAAAUAUUGCAAAUUAUUUAUAGAUUAAAUAUAUAUUUGGUCAGAAAAUCAUAUAUGAGUUACAUUAUUUACAUUAUAGUUUUAGAUUUAUAUUAUGAGUUAUUAGAUAAAUUGAUUUUUUGUUAUAAAAAAUAAUAAGCUAAAGAUAGUAUUAUAAAACUAUCAAAUUUCCGAACUUAUUAAUUCUACAAUUUUAAUGAUUGAAUGUUUGUAAAACAAGGAUUCAAUGUAAUUUAUUUAUAGUAUAAAAGUGAAAUUUUUAUAUUUAUAACUACUUAAGUAUUACGGUACAUUGUGAUCAUCAUAUUAAAUGGAUUUAGAUAUGGCCGAGCAUUCAUAUGUAAAGUUUGUAUCAUUUUCGUAAUUGACGAAAAUAUUUGUAAAUAUACAUCAAGUAGUAUAUGUUUUAUCCUAAAUAUCUUCAUAAAUUUUAUAUGGGCUUGCGCAUUUAUUUAUUAAAUUUAUAAAUACGCAACGCAAUUUUAUCAUUACAGUAUUAAAUGCUUAAGUAAAAAAGUCAUUGAGAUUAAUUUGUCGCUGUAAUUUUCAUGACUUUUUCAUUUUCUACCAAUAUUUAUCUAUCACAUCUUGCAAUAUACUCGUAAGUCUUGAUACUAUGUGAUCUUUAUAUUUUGUUAUACUUCUUUACAUGUUAUGAGUGCCGAGUAGUUUUACAAGGAUGAAAAAACUUCCCAAAGGACUAGACUAGGAUGAGAGGAAGGAAGUAGGCGAAUAUCUGUCUUCAUUCGAUCAAUGGACCCUCCAAUAAUCCGUUUAUGAUCCUCCAAGCUGUCUUCCGCCGCCUAUUCAUCAUUCCUUCACUAUCCAUUUUUUCUCUGUAAUCACCGCAGCUUGGUGGCUGAUGAACUCUGUCCGUUGUGCAUCAAAUCGGUAGGAGGGAAUAAUGAUUUGGAACGAGACGAUCGACUGCUGAUCCAGCGUUGGCUAAUUCGAAUUGUCGACCAGCCGGGCUGACUCGCGUGUUCCGAAGACAAAGGCCUGCGUCGAGGGACUGUAACCUGGCGGCCGGCAGCGGAGGCAAUUUCACAAAUGACAUAUGGUGAGUCAACCAAUAGUAAGAUUUUAAUGAAAUCUGGCCUAAAGUCCUCUUCCUCGACAAACACCGACUGCGGACUGUCUGAGAUUACACGUUUGAGCGCGAUAUUCUAAUGGGCGGCAGCAGGCAGCCGGUCUUUCUCGUGCAUUUAGUCGAAUGGGUUAAAACUGCGGUUAUUUGCAGUGCACUUCGAUCGAAUUGGCUGCCGUUUGCAUAAUCUCCUUCCGUUGCUCGCCGCGUCGCAUUCGUUCACAUUCGUACGCCUUUCUUUCACCGGAUCUCUCUCUCUCUCUUUCUGUUCCUUUCCUCCGUUUCCUCCGUCUUUCCCGACCACUUUCCUUUUUUCCGUCCGGUCGUACAUACCUUCCGUGAAAACGAUCGCGUUUCUUUGUUCGAGGCAGGCGGAGAAAUUCAGGUUCCUCUACGUGCGAUCGCGUUUGAUAUAUAUCCGUCGAUCGAUCGAGUUUCACACGACGACGACGGAUCGUUCACCUCGAGGGAAGAGUUUGAUCACGGUAGUCGCGGUCAACGCGGAACGUGGGCGAUCGUCGCGAACGAAUCGUCUCAAUUGCGACUUCUUGUCGAGAUCGGAUUUCCACAGAUCGACUACGUUUACGCCGGUCGACGACGACGACGACGACGACGACGACGACGACCUCGGUGACACAGGGGAUACGUGCACGGCGUGCCGGCGUUUUUAGGGGGGAAACAAAUGACACCUCAUGAUCGCCCUGAGUUUUGCACGUAACCGAUUUGAAUAAAUUUUCACGCGGCCGUAAAAAUUGCCGGUCUUGCCUCUGACGUACUGAAAUUGCGAGAUUGUUUCCGCAACGUGGAAUAAAAAUAUUUGUUUCGAGAAAUUUAUACGCGUCCUCGUACGCGGCUGGACAUAUUUUUCUUGGAGAGAGAGAGAGAGAGAGAGCGAAAGAAAUCUCUGCUCCGUAAAAUAAUCUCGAGACUCGAGUAUCGUAUCUUUAGUACAUGAGAUCCUCCGAUAAAAAGGAGAGACGCCGCGAGGCAUGUAAUUUACGAUUAAAGAUCGCGUAUAAAAUUAUCAUACUGUAAUCACGGGCUUUUGCGUGAAACGUGAUGCGCGUAGAUUUAACGAAAAUUCAUAGCCCAGCGUAAAAUCAUUUCACAUUACGUUAUGAAUAGCGCCAGAGCGGCCAGCACAAAGCAAUAACCGUUAAUGUCCGUAACAAUCGUCCGCUGCAUAUUAUUAAUACAACUUAAUUACCGAUAAGCAAUCUGCGGUAUAUAUUUGCGACAAUUCCAAUCGCUGGAUGAUGGAUUGUGUAAUAGUCAUGAAUUUGCGGUGUUCACGAGCCUGAGCGCUUUUGCGCGCGAAUUACGCGGAUUACGCUAAGUUUGUCCCGUUACGCGGAACGACACAGAGUUCUUGUUAAAUUGCUCGUCUUCCGCUUAUGCGUUCCUGAAAUAUAUAUGUACGUAUGUACGUAUGUAUGUA